UGUAACUAUGGCGCCCUCUAGUGUAGGCUUAUAAAAUAGACGAGGAAAAGUCCAGAUAUCUUUUGUUUGUUUUCACCUGCGGAGGCGCCACUGUUGUUGGACUGUCGUAGUGAAGCUUCCCUUACAGCUCCCCACUGCCUUCUCAUAACGGUAGCGAGUAUAAAACGGUUCAAGUGGAUCUGAUGGGACACUUAGACGCCUAGUCAGACAGACUGGAAGGGCAGACUUUCAGCAAACAUUGUGGAUGAUUACAAACUGCUCUGGUGAUGUCGGGGGGGGGAUCUUGAGUAACAUCACGCCACUCUUGCAUUUAAGCUGGCAUGUCCUGAAAUGGUUUCGGUGUUGGACAAAGUCAUUUUCUGCAUCACCAGGAUCCCCAAAAACACCUAACAAGAAGUCCCCGAGUCAGCACUGUGAUAAACAUACUGUCCUGUUCAAUAAGGAACGACUCGCCAGACUUACCAAUGUACGCCAUUUGCCAUCUCCCCCACAGCUGAUUUCACAGCGAGAAAACCAUAGACGUUACAAGGAUAGACAGCAUUGAUUUAGUGUCCACUAGAGGCGUUACUUGAACUUAUUUUACCAUGUGUAAUAUGUUCCCUUGCCAAUUUAUGUCAGUCAACAACACUGCUGGACUAUUUGUUAUUUUAUGAUUUUACUUGUUUAAAAAUAGCUUUUCUCUCUUCCAUAUUAGUGCUAGAUUCUCUUGAAUGUUAUUAUAUUUUGUCA